rnacentral:rRNA from 1 species
AUUGAACGCUGGCGGCAGGCUUAACACAUGCAAGUCGAGCGAGCGGCGGACGGGUGAGUAAUGUCUGGGAAACUGCCUGAUGGAGGGGGAUAACUACUGGAAACGGUAGCUAAUACCGCAUACCAUCAGAUGUGCCCAGAUGGGAUUAGCUAGUAGGUGGGGUAAUGGCUCACCUAGGCGACGAUCCCUAGCUGGUCUGAGAGGAUGACCAGCCACACUGGAACUGAUACAGGGCCCAGACUCCUGCGGGAGGCAGCAUUGGGGAAUAUUGCACAAUGGGCGCAAUCCUGACGCAGCCAUGCCGCGUGUGUGAAGAGGUCCUUCGGGUUGUAAAGCAAUUCCAGCGAGGGGGCUUUACUGGCAGAAGAAGCACCGGCUAACUCCGUGCCAGCAGCCGCGGUAAUAC